GCCCCUGUAGCGCAACUGGAUAGCGCAGCGGACUUCGAAUCCGUCGGUUGCAGGUUCAAAUCCUGCCAGGGGCAC
rnacentral:tRNA from 1 species